rnacentral:rRNA from 1 species
CGUUGACCUCGGAUCA